GACGUAGGGGGCAAGCGUUGUCCGGAAUCAUUGGGCGUAAAGCGCGCGUAGGCGGCUCGGUAAGUCCGUUGUGAAAGUCAAAGGCUCAACCUUUGAACGCCGAUGGAUACUGCCGGGCUAGAGUCCGGAAGAGGCGAGUGGAAUUCCUGGUGUAGCGGUGAAAUGCGCAGAUAUCAGGAGGAACACCAAUUGCGAAGGCAGCUCGCUGGGACGUUACUGACGCUGAGACGCGAAAGCGUGGGGAGCAAACAGG
rnacentral:rRNA from 1 species